GUAUUAGUCUUCCAUAUGAAUAUCCAGAACUUUACAGAUUAAAAGUAUGCUAAAACAUUUAUCUUAGUAGCAAAAUAGUAUUCCUAACUGUAUUUAGUAAAGAUUUUCCUUGUUGUGUACCAUGUUUGUCUUCAAAUUUUGCUAUUGCAUAGAUAUAUUUCAGUUGAAAUAUAGUGAGUAUUUGAUCUCAGGAAGUCAGGGUUCUUUCGAGCAAAACCGGAAAAAAUUAAUUAAAUUAUCCUUUUCCAGAAACAUGUUUUUUAUUUACUUCCAAUUCUAACAGAACCAAAAGAUUACAAUGCAAUGGGGGAUAGGAACCUAAAAAAAGUAAUAUUUUCAGUUUUGCAAGCACACAUAUCAUGUUUUACAAUACAGAUUCAAAUUGAGGUCACAACUUUAUAUUUACUUUAUUAUAUGGUAAAUAUAAAAUAUUAAAUCACGGUAAUAUGUUUUAUAAAAUGAGUGUAUUCACAUUUGUGCGUAAAAUAUAUAUAAAGGCAGCUAAAGACAAAUAUCACAAAAUAGAUUAAUUUGUCCAAAUUUUGAGAAUACCUCCAGAUUUUGAUUUAUUGUUUUAGCUGUCACAGGUCACAUAUUACAAGGGGGACUUAGUAUUUAAAAGCUAUUUGUCAUAUCAAGCUAUUUAUUUCCUUUUUUAUGUCUAAUAUAACAAUGAAGGGGCAUUUGGGCCACUUGUGAGGGCACUGACUAUGGCAACACUAUUUUUCUUACAAGCCUCUGUUGUACUUACAAAUAUUAAUUGAGUGUUAAACAUUGAGGGGUACUUAAAGAAAAACUGGAAUUUUUCUAUAAUUUUGCAAUAGAAACAUUUGCAUGUAAUAUAGCCUAAUUUGUUUAGUAAUGAACACAUGUACGUUAAUAACUAUUGUAGUGUAUCUCCUCAUGUAAUCUUGCUUAAUGUGGACUGUUAUAUUUAAUCCACUUUGAUCAGAAACACAUUUUAUCUGCUAAGACCAUGCACAUUUUGAAAGACUGAAACCAUUACAAGGGGAAUGUUUGUAUGUUUGAUAAUUCUUGUGCAUGAUGGUAAGAAUUUUAAAUAUGCAGUAGAUCUUGAUUACCUGUACAGUUUUCAGUUGGAAAAGUGUACUCCCGACCAAAGAGAGGUAAUGACGACUGCCCUCAUAGAACAAGAAUGAACCAGUCGAUGCACCUGAAGUGAAGGUAUUGUGAAUUUCAAAACAGACAAAAGCAAGGAGACUAAGCUUGUGCAUGGCAAAUAAAUUCAUUUUGUCCAAAUUGA